rnacentral:rRNA from 1 species
GACAGAGGCCCCAAGCGUUAGGCGGAAUCACUGGGCUUAAAGCGUGUGUAGGCGGACGCCUAAGUGUCUUGUGAAAUCCCACGGCUCACCCGUGGAACUGCUGGGCAUACUGGCGAUCUUGGGCCAACUAGGGGCAACUGGAACAAGCGGUGGAGCGGUGAAAUGCGUAGAUAUCGCUUGGAACGCCAAAGGUGAAAACAGGUUACUGGGGUUGUGCCGACGCUGAGACACGAAAGCCAGGGGAGCAAACGGG